rnacentral:SRP_RNA from 1 species
GUCCGGAACCUGUGCAAGUUCAGCCUACGAACCGCGUCAGGGCCGGAAGGCAGCAGCGCUAAGUAGACCCUGUGCUGUGCCGCAGGCCCUCCGGAUCGC